rnacentral:rRNA from 1 species
UACAGAGGGCCCAAGCGUUGUUCGGAUUCAUUGGGCGUAAAGGGUGCGUAGGCGGCGCGGUAAGUCGGGUGUGAAAUCUCGGAGCUUAACUCCGAAACUGCAUUCGAUACUGCCGUGCUUGAGGACUGGAGAGGAGACUGGAAUUUACGGUGUAGCGGUGAAAUGCGUAGAUAUCGUAAGGAGGACCAGUGGCGAAGGCGGGUCUCUGGACAGUUCCUGACGCUGAGGCACGAAGGUCAGGGGAGCAAACGGG